GAUUAUGGUUACAGCUAAUUGACCAAAUGGGAUGGCCUUCUAGCUCUACUACUGGACUGAAAUGAAUCAGACUGACUGCGGCAAAGGGUGCAGGUAACCCGGGAAGAGAUAGCGCCAUCGCAAAGUCCCCCGUGAAAACACCCAAGGAAUCACCAAGCCCGCCACCCGCCGUCCCGCACGCAGGGGCGGCUCGAAACGCAACUCCGGCCCCAUCCACGAAGAGACGCGCGGCGCCCCCAAGGUGCCCCUGGAGGAUCUGAUUCGUGCUAAUGCUGAAAGAACAUAGGUGAGUAUCCCUGGGUCAGAGGGAAAGAGAGGAAGAGGAUUCAAGUUAAGAAAAGAGAGCAAUUGUGAUAAACAGAGAAGAGGGAGCGAAAGAGAAUAAAAUAAAAUAAAAUAGUAAUAAUAAUAAUUUUAAAAAAAUUAAUAAAAAUAAUAAUAAUAAUAAAAUAAAAAUAGUAGUAAUUGAAUAAAACUAAGAGAUAAAUGAAUUUAAGUAAAUAGGAUGAUAAGAAAAAAAAUGUAAUAAUGAUAAAUAAAAAAAAAUAAAAAAAUAAAUAAAAGAUUUAAAAGAGAGAAAAAAAAUUAGAAGAGCACAGGAUAGAAAUAAUAGGGAAAAAGAGAAGAAAACACAGCGCCUGGGGAUUUUGGUGUAGAAGAAAUCCAAAAAAAAAAGGACCUUAUCAAAGGAACCAGAAUUUUUUUUUAUUUUGAGGAGAAGGUAAUUUCAGAGUACAAAAUCUGGAAGUACUAAAUCGCAUCUUUUGCCAACCAAUGAAAAUGAGCGGCCGUCAAACCACAAAACCCCCCGGUUGUGACGUCGCGCGAUUAAUCGACAAAUCAGCGUGCGGCGUCCAAUUUCGACCGCGGCCCUCUAACCCUUGGGUGAUUAGAAACGGCGCAUGGUGAAAUCCCGUCCGCAAGCCAACUGGCAAAUUAAAAGUUUGACGUCGCAUACAUAGUUAGUGAUACACGCAUAUGCAAGUAACAACACUGAUGUAAAGUUUAGGUGGAAUUAGAGUCGGAAACCUCCUCUGAUUCCACCUCUCGGAUCCGCGGUCUUAGCCUGUCGCAAGCCAGGAGAAAAUCGAUACAGGCUCGCCAGGUUAAACAAUUGUGGGUGAAGUCGCGGAGCGCCCUCGGCGUGUAACCGAGUUCCCUCCCCGCUAUAAAUAGUAGACGAGUUCUGAGUGAGUCCAGACUGUCACACUCGAGCAUGAUAUUCUCCAGAGUUUCCUCCUCUCCAGAGUCACAGAAAGGGCAGAUUGGAUCAUCAAUAAAUCCAAGUCUGUGAGCAAAGCUGUCUGUCCAUGUGUGUCCAGUCAGUAGGCCAAUCACGGCAUGGACACUAGGGAUGAUAUACGCAUGCUUUUUGUCCAAGAGACUCUUUGGGGAAAGACCAAAGCGGGUGAAGAUUGUGCGCUCGGCGGAGAUGAACCUGUCCUGCCAAGCUGCCCACGCCCGCAUGUAGAUUGUCGAUUUAAGUUUCGACAGCGGUGCGAGGCGAUAGCAGCUCGGGAGAUCAGAUUUCGCCCCGCGUUUCGCGAGCACAUCAGCAACCUCAUUACCAAAAAUCCCGCUGUGGCCUUUGAUCCAUUGUAUGGUACAUCUGUUCCCAUUGCGGUUCAGUUGCGAAAUCAGCAAAAAAGCCCUGUUGACCAGGAGGUUGCCUGUUCUGGAGUUUAGAACGGAUUUCACAACUGAGAGGUUAUCCAGGAGUAUUUCAAUAGUGCAAUUAUCGGGAAGCUUUGAGGCGUCCUCAAGUGCUUUAAUCAAGCCAAGUGCCUCCGCUUGGAAGACAGAACAGUACGGGGACAGGACAAAACUCUCACGCAAUUUAUUCAUGGAGCCAUUUGCAUACACUAUAUAUAGGCCUGUGCCAACUCCAGUUUUCGUCUUGGAACCAUCUGUGUAGUAGGUGACGUCAGCCGAAAGAUCAGGAAUAUUAAUGGGAGCGGAGUAAUAGGGAGGAUAGGGAAGUGGGUGAGAGAAGGGAGGAGGCUCGACUGGAAAUUCAGCGUCAACAAAACUGUGCUUUUUAAAGUACAAUUCCGCCUUUGCGCCGACAUCCAGAUCGAGGGAGAGAACACGGGAAAGAGAGAUGAGAGAGCUGUUGUCAGUUGUUUUAAACGCGCGGCAUGUCCUGAUGAGAAACGGGCGCUGCGCGCUUAAGAGAGUUUUUAAGGAGCGUUGUUUAAGAUUGGAAAACCACACAGGAGAAGCGUAAGAGAUGGCUGGAACCACGACCUGUAGAUAAAGCAUCCUCAGGGCACGGAACCCAAAGCCAAAAUUGGAGUUGGCAGCUGCUGUCAAACGCGGGAGAAAGCCGCGGACUCUGGUGCAAACCUCUUUCACGUGUUGGUGGAAGGUGAGACGCUGAUCAAACCUUACUCCCAGCACUUUGAUUGAGUCGCUCCAUUGGAUGGGUUGAUCGUUAAUGGUCAGAUCGCAGCUAGGCUUUAGUUGUCUGCCAGUACGUCUUAGAAGGAGCAUGGCCUGACACUUCCUCACGCUAAGUUCCAGUUUAUGCAGGCCACACCACCUCGUGAUCUCGUUAAUGGCAAGUUGCGCCGCUCCAAGUUGAUUUGCAACUUGGCCCGCCACCACCAUAACAAGAUUGUCGGCGUAGGCCUGCGGGUAAACACAUUUUUUAAAGUUGAGCGUGAGGAGCUCGCCAAAGACAAGGUUCCAAAGAAACGGCCCAAGGACUGGUUGGGCUUUACACAUCCUCUCAGCUCGCCACGAGAGCCUGGCCAGGAUAAGACGCUCUAGAAUUUUACCUAAGCCAGGCAGCAUCGUGAUGGGCCGAUGAGACGCGAGAAAGUCCUCACCACCUUUUUUGGGAAUGAGUAUUACAUCACCCAGUUUCCAAGGGGUUGGAAAAUGUCCAGUUUCAAAGCACCUAUUAAAAAUCUUUAAAAAGAACGUCGGAAAUUUUUUAAUUAAUUUAACAAUGACAAGAGGUGGCAUACCAUCACUGCCAGGAGCAGAGGUUAGGCGAACCUUACCCGCAGCCAGUAGCAGCUCUGUUUCUGAGAACGGAGGGUCGUUAUCAGAGCUGGACUGCACGGCUUUAUGCAAGUUAACAUGCUCUACUGUUGUAUCGGGCGGGACGCGGCCGAAGUAGUGCUUUAAAACGAAGUGUACUUCGCUAAAGUUGUUUACGUGUAUGUCGUUAUUGCUGUUAGAAGAGAGGGGUUCAAAAUUAACGUUAAACACGAGGCGUUUAUGGUCAGAUAAAGCCUGGUUGAUUGCAUUCCAAUCGGCGAUCCGGUCCGCGAGGCCAGCAGAACAACACUUGACGUCGAUGGAGGAGGACCUCUCGCCCUCCUCCCACGUGAUCGUGCCGUGUUUGUUGACAACGUGGAGCAAGUUAGCGUCAAGGAAGUUUUCGAUAUUUUCUCUUUUAGUGCAUUUGUAUUUAAGCAACCGCGCUUUAUUUGACCAUCUAUAGGAUUCAAUAUUAAAGUCGCCGCAAAAAAUCACCUCGUGGAAAUUAAUUGUUUUUAAAGAGUUGUCUAUCUUAUCAAGAAGAGCAUCGGAACAACGUGAUGGUGAAAGAUAAACAGUACACAGAAGGAUUGACAAGUCAUUCACUUCGCACAGGACAAAUACAGCAUUCACACAAGACAAGUGAGACAAGUGUAUGAAUUUUAAAUUCGGAUUUGCUAUUAUUACAGCCGCUCCCAAUUUAUUUUCGCUUAUUGGACCGUGUCAAACCCUGUCAAGGGGCACAAGUAAUGACGGUAAAUUGUUUUUGGAAACUGGGAGUUCUUGCAAUAAUAGCACAUCCGAUUUUUCCUCGCGACAUUCAUUCAACAAGGAGUACAAACAAUAUGGAGAGCGUCUUAAAUUGGCUUGAACACACUUGAGAACGUUCAUCUUACCAACAAUUUAUUGAAAUUAUCCUGUGCCUCCCGCAUGUGUUUACACGCCAUGGAGUUGGCACUGUGUUUGUCACCACACCUGUGACAUUUCAACACUGUUUUGUUUUCACAGGUUUCGGAAAGAUGUGCACCAGCGCAGUGGCUACAUUUAGCCGCCCUAGUGCACUUCCUUCCGUUGGUGUGGGUUUUGUGACUUAAACUGCCACAGACACCACAUGGGAAGACGCGCUUUGCUCUAGCGAGUCUCGGCGAGAGGAAGUCAAUCGUGAUUCUACCACGCUCGAGCAAUGCAGUCUCUACAUCCUUAUUUACUUCAACUAUCGCGGUGGAGAGGGCACCCUCUUUCUUAAUCAAUUUCACCAUCCUGAUGUUUUCGCCACUUUUCAGCAGCUUUUCGACAGCGGGAUGGCUACUAAUAUCAGCCACAAGCUGCUCCUCAGUUUUCUCUCCGGGAAUAACGAAGAUAGCAAGCCUGGGCUUGAAUGUGAGGUUUGUCUGGACUUUAAGUCCACCAAUAUUGGCGGACUUAACGUUGUCCACAAACCUCUUUUUUUUUCAGAGGGGUUGGUGAAGUGGAGGACAAGUUUUUUAUCCCCCCCUGUCACCGCAGCUACAUCACAAUUUUUUAGACUGGGAGUUUGGGCGAUUUUUGCCCUAAUCUCGCUAACAGUGAGGUCCGCGGAAGCGAGCUUCACGUGGUUGGUGCUGUUACGCAGCAUAUGCGCGUAACUGGGCUUAGUUGGUUUGGCAGGCUUAGCACCUGCAUUGGUUGGCUGGGUGACUUUUGUCACCACUGGGGUUGGUUUGGGAGAAGGUGUAGGAGCGACGGUUGUUUUUUUAGAGGCUGAUUGUUCAGCUCUGAUUUCUGCGACUUUGAGAUCGCAGCCCUUCAGCUUACUCUGAAGGAUGCUCACAACGGUGUUUUGGAGCUGGUAGAGCAGCCCAUCUAUUUUUAGGUGUAGAUCUUUGUUCUCUGUGGAACCUAGAUCCCCGCUGAGUCUUAGCCCUACCUCAUGUUGCAGUAUUUGGCGGCAACCUUUGAAGGACAUGUCGAUUUCAUCCCACCCUUCCCUAAAUGCCAUGUUGGAAGCAAUAGGUAUUACAGGAGAAGGAGUGACCCAGUGAGACUCACCAUUUUGGAGAGUUGGGGCAGAAGAAGAAGCGGAGGUAACCGCCGCGUUCAUGAGUUAUCCAAAGAGUUAUCCAAGAGUGUAGGUGUGCACAGGUUGGAGCCAGGGACGUGAGAGCUGAUGGGGGAUGAUGAUCUGAGGAUGAGCCUCAUAGCUCCUCGAUGACUUUCCUUAUAUACUGCGGCGGGCGGAUGCUAAUCACUCGCGGGGAUUACUGGGCCUUCAUAACGCAACUUUACAGGCUCUCCUCCAAUUAGGUUGGUUGUUCUCUUUCUUCUUGUUUAUACGGUCCUUGUUAUUUUGUUGAUAGUGUCCUUGUCUUGUUAAUUCGGUCAAGUUGUCUUGAGAAGUAGUCCGUGUUAUCUUGUUGAGAUAGUCUGCUGUUCUUAUUGAUAGUGUCCUUUUGUGUAUCGUUCUUAAGGAUAUUGUUGAUUCGUUUAAGAUAUAUUGUAGAGGUAGUCCGUGUCGUCUUGUUUUGACUAUCCGUGUUAUCUUGUUGAGAUGGUUCGUAAUUUAUUGUUUAGUUGGUCCGUGGUAUCAUUUUGAGAUGGUCCGUGCUGUCGAGACGGUCCGUGUUGUCUUGUUGAGAUGGUCCGUGCUGUCGAGACAGUCCGUGCUGUCCAGACGGUUCAUGCUGUCGAGACGGUCCGUGUUAUUCUGUUGAGAUGGUCCGUGUUAUCCGGUUGAGAUGGUCCGUGUUAUCUUGUUGAGAUGGUCCGUGUUAUCCUGUUGAAAUAAUCCGUGCUGUCGGGACGGCCCGUGUUAUCUUGUUGAGAUGGUCCGUGCUGUCGAUACGGCCCGUGUAAUCUUGUUGAGAAUUGUUGAGAUUAUGGCGCUAACUUUGCGACAUUUAAGGUGUCGAUAACAACCUUCUGAGCGCGCGGCGCUAUGCAAUAUAUAUAGGCUCUAUAUUCGUUCCCAUAAAAAUUAUUUUGAAAUACACACACACAUUAUAAAUAAUAUAUAAACCAAAAAUAUAUAUUCAUUGAAGUAGAUACUGUCAUUUUGAAUAACAGCCAGCCAUCUUUUUGCUAGGUUUUCAACUUGCUGACGAUCCAUUCUCGGGGUUUGGAGUCGAACACGACAGGCAAUUUCAACGUCUUUGAUUGUUUUUUUUUAUGUAGCCAUGGACCGAAAUAAUACAUAAUUAGAUGGCGUAAUAUCCGGGCUAUAAGCAGGAUGAAGUAUAACUUCAAUACCCUCCAUUCCCUUUAUUCUAUUGGUUGUUAACCUAGCUCGAUGAGCUGGAGCGUUGUCAUGUUGCAGGAGUACUCUCUUUUGGUUGAUCAAAGCAGGGUAUCGAGUCGUGAAGAUCUUGUGCAGCUGUGCAGCUUAUGCAGAGUUCGGUUUAUCGUAUCUUGGAUGGUCUAAGUCUGGCUGACAUUUCACGUGUAGAUUGUUGUGGGUUGUCCAUCACCGGAAAUCUAGAGUCUCAACUAUCCGUCACAUGUGGUCGCCUCAUUCGAGGUUUGUCCUCAAGGCUGAUGUAUUCUUCUCUAAAUCUCUUGAACCAUUUUGAAGCUGUUCUUAUAUUGACUAUUCCCUUCUCUUCCACUUCGCAUAUUUAUUUUGUCGCCAUAUUUUCAUGUAGCUCUUUUUUCCCCAAAAGAAGCGUAAUAGUACUCGGAUCGUUAUUUUUUGAUCACAUAUUAUUUAGCUCUCUAUUAGAAUACUGAAAUGUUAUUCUCCCGUCAAAAUAGUCAAUAAAACUAAGCGCCAUCUAUUAACCGUCUCCACAAACUAGCGGACUAAGGUCGGCGACAAAGCCACAACACCAGAUUUGGCAAACUGAGAAAGCGUUCACUUGGAGACCAUGGUUUGGGCUAAUGGCCCCGUCAAUAUCAAAGGUGGACUUUAUAUUUUAUGAGAGAGAGAGAGAGAGAUCUACAAGGAAUCAAAUGAAAUCUUCACAAUCUGCUAAAGAGGUUUUUAGCCAAAGCUGGAGUUGUGGCUUUGUCCUGACCUGAGUCCGUUAGUUUGCGGAUACAGUUUAGAGAUUGCACUUAGUUUUAGCUCCUAUUUUGACGGAAGAGCCUACCUUUAUUUUCAUAAGCAUAUAUAUAUUUUUAAUUAUCUAAAAAUAUAUAUAUAGAAGGAAGUUAAUGAAUUUUCAGCAAGAUUUGUGUGUGGUUUGUGUAAAGCGUGUGAACUAAGGAACAAAAAAUAAGUUAUUCGGUUAUAUAAAACAGGCAGACAGGUACGUACAUCCAGUCAGGUGUGUGAACUAAAGGGCGUUCAGUCAGGGAGAUAACGGUCGGUCCCUACUGACUCACCAUCGAUCCACUCGCCGUUU
rnacentral:piRNA from 1 species